rnacentral:rRNA from 1 species
UACGUAGGGGGCAAGCGUUGUCCGGAAUCAUUGGGCGUAAAGGGCGCGUAGGUGGCUUGUUAAGCGUGUGGUGAAAGCCUGGGGCUCAACCCCAGGUCUGCCGUGCGGACUGGCAAGCUUGAGCAGAGUAGAGGCGAGUGGAAUUUCGGGUGUAGCGGUGGAAUGCGUAGAUAUCCGAAAGAACACCGGUGGCGAAGGCGGCUCGCUGGGCUCUUGCUGACACUGCAGCGCGACAGCGUGGGGAGCAAACAGG